rnacentral:tRNA from 1 species
AAGUAGUUCAGUGGGUCACUAUGUCUGACUGUUAACCAGAAGGUUGGUGGUUCAAGCCCACCCAGGGAUG